UGGUGAUAUUAAAGUGAUUUUUUCCAUAUUGUCAAUAUAAGAUGAAUAUUACCAACAUUAACUGCAAUAAGUAAACUCAAAAUUUAUAAUUUUAAUCAAUUCACACUAAAAGCUGAGGAAGAAGCAGGAAUCUAAAUGUCCUAGAAGGGGCCCACCCCUGCACAUGAGGCCUAUAUGUCCACCUUUCAGGGUAAGACAAUUUGGCCCAUCAUUAGGCAUUAGGAACAAUAGGUAAGAAUUUGAUGCAGGCUUUUUAAUUUCUACCAUAUGAAAUUUUGUGUUAUCUUUAUAUCUAGUUUAUCUCAUCUUUGAGCAAAUAAAUAUCUAUUAGCACGCUGGUCUCUAGGCUGUCAAUUUAGCACUUAAAUUGAUUUGUCUCUUUCUUUCUUUUUCAAGGAAAAUAUCCCUGGGAAUCAAGGAAGCAAUCAAUUUCACAUUAGUGAAAGAGCUAAGGUUUCACCUUCUAGUUGGAUUACUCCUGCACAUCAUUUCUGAAAAGUUCUCCAGGUUUUGGUUUAUGCUUAACAAACAAGGAAAAUGUCCUUUAAAGUUAGAAGGCCAUGUUUGCUGGGAAAAAAAGAUGUCCUCAGAUGAAAAUAUUUGCCUGAAUCAUCUCAUCUAAAGUCUGCUGGAAACACUGAACUGGUCAUUUUCAUUGCUGACUAAAAUCCAUUUCCUGAAUAUGUAACAGUUGUCCAUUCUUCCAUCAAUGAACAAAUAGACUCUUCCUUCUGUGCCAGUUGGGUGAAUACCUAGGAUUGUAAGGUCACAGGUAGGUUCAUAAUAACCAGAAUUUGGAGCUGCUUAAUUCCCUCUUUGACACAGAAUAUAUGACCCAGUGUGAAUGACUCUCCAGAUCUCUGUGGCUGCAUCUCCUCAGUUGGUCAUGAAAUCACUGGUGACACUUUCUAAAGUGUUGUUCAGAGAUUUAAUUUGUUAAUUAAGGCAACACUUGAAUCCAUUUGUGUAUCUGCAUAUCAGGAAUUUCUCUUAUCUUCUUUAAAGACCAUAAAAUUAAACCUAUAUUUGCAGCAGGCUUUGAAAAAUUACAGUGCCACAGAAGUGCUAAGUUGUAUGAUUAUGCAGGAGGCAUAUUUGGGGCUGGUGCAUAAAUUGUGAUAAUCCUAGAGUUUUUUAAAGUACCGAGGGGAAGGGAUAGAUCUAUUUUUUAAUUGGUUUAGACAGCUGUCUACACAGCUGCAUCCUGGCU
rnacentral:lncRNA from 1 species